GUAAAUUACAAAUACACUUGCUACCAGGGGCUGCUCUACACCCUCCAUAUUUAUUUAAUUUUACCCCACUACCCCGUACUCUUGCUUUCAUCCCAUGCAGGUGUCUAUUUUAGAGCCAAGGUGACACCACGCAUGCCUUCCUAUUUCCUCACUUGUACACUAAUACUAAAACUCUAUGCUAAGUACUCCUACACAAGGACUAACCUCAUUGUAAAGAGCUUUUAUUCAUUUUAGUGAAUAACCACCUCGAGGAUCUAUGUGUUCGUUUUACAAGGCUUCCCUGUCCACCCAUAUGCCAUGAAUGCAGCGUACAACUUUCUAGGUUUUCCAAGAGGUGUUCAUUUUACAAGGUUUCCCUGUCCACCCAUAUGCCUUGAAUGCAGCGUACAACUUCCUAGGUUUUCCAAGAGGUGUUCAUUUUACAAGGUUUCCCUGUCCACCCAUAUGCCUUGAAUGCAGCAUACAACUUCCUAGGUUUUCCAAGAGGUGUUCAUUUUACAAGGUUUCCCUGUCCACCCAUAUGCCUUGAAUGCAGCAUACAACUUCCUAGGUUUUCCAAGAGGUGUUCAUUUUACAAGGUUUCCCUGUCCAUCCAUAUGCCUUGAAUGCAGCAUACAACUUUCUAGGGUUUCCAAGAUCUGUGUUCAUUUUACAAGGUUUCCCUGUCCACCCAUAUGCCUUGAAUGCAGCGUACAACUUCCUAGGUUUUCCAAGAGGUGUUCAUUUUACAAAGUUUCCCUGUCCACCCAUAUGCCUUGAAUGCAGCAUACAACUUUCUAGGUUUUCUAAGAUCAGUGUUCAUUUUACAAAGCUUCCCGAGGAGUCCACCCAUACACCAUGAAUGCAGCGUACAACAUUCUAGGUUUUCCAAGAUACUCAUCCACCCGUCAUCUUAAUGGCAAUAAUCUGACCAGCACAGCCUCUUACCUUUCCUGGUUUUAUACUUACCCUUCUACUUUUCCAUCAACAGCAGGUAGAUCAAAGGCUGACCAAACAAAAAUUCUUGUCUCUCUCAAACACCUUAUUACCAAGGGCCAAGAAACACCUUUGCAUUGAAGUUGUUGGGCUCCUCUUGUGUAGCAACAGUUUUCUUUUCCAUGCGUGGCCCUGCAGUUCCCUCCUCAGCUUUGACUUCUUGCAAACACUCGAUUUGGGUUGGCAUACUUGGUUUGUCUUUUGUUUAUCCCUAUAUUGAAUUAACCCAUAAAUCCAAGAAAAUGAUAGUUUGUAUGGGGGAAAAAAUGCCAGAAAGUUACCCCUGCCCAGUAUACACCAAUAGUACAAUUUAUUUAUUUAUUUCUUGUCUGCCUUUUUCCGCCGUAAUUUUAAAGUUUGCAUACGGUUUUAUGGGUCAGCAUGUCUCCUAGGCUGCCACAACUUCUCUGUGCCAUUCUCAUAUGAUGCCCACUUCCUUUAUAUCACAACUAGGUAAAUACUGAGAAGGGGAAAGGGAGGAGGAGAGAGACAGAGUGAGUGAUAAGAAAAAUACAGAUAGAGGGUGUAAGAAGGGAGAACAAGGAAAAGGAGUGGAGGAAACAGGGAGAGAUAGUGAGGAUGAAAACAAGGAGAAGGGUGUGGGGAGGGAGGACCUGACCUGACUCUCCCUUCUGCCUCUCCCUCCCCACACCCUUCUUAUUUCCCCUUCUAUGUGUGUGUGUGUGUGUGUGUGUUCAUAUAAUCUAAUGGGGAAGGAGAAAGGGAGGAAGAGAGUGAUAGAGUUAGAGAUAGGGCUAUAGAUAAGAGGGUGUGAGAAAGGAGGAAACAAGAGAAAUGAGUGGUGGAGGAAAUGGGACUGGAAAAGAAGAGAUUUACAUAGAUUUACAUAGAAAAUCAGACCACACAGACCCCAUGGUCCAGACUUGGUGGUCUGUCCUUAAACCUAAGUGAUUUUACAUUAAUCAGAAGACUCCAAAACGUUGCAUUUCUACUCUAGUUGAUAUUAAGUUGAAGGAAGUGACGGUCGAGCUUAUUUUUGAAGGAGUCAAUCGUGUUACACUGGACCACUGAUGAUGGGAGCUUAUUCCAUUCUCGCACUACAACGUUGGUGAA